CUGGCUCUUGUAGACCAAGCUGGUCUUGAACUCACAGAGAUCUCCCUGCCUCUGCCUCCCAAGUGCUGAGAUCAAAGGCAUGCACCACUGAUGCCCGGCUGAAUUGGAAACUUUCUUACAGUUUCAGAGGUGCCACCAACUGAAGACCAGUCAUUUAAAUAUGUGAGCCUGUGGAGCCCAUUCUCUUUCAAACCAGCAUACAGGGUAUCUUAACAAGAAGGAAUUGGGAGAAUCCUACCAUAGAGUUUGGGGCUUUGAUAUAGAACUCUCAACUGCUUCUCCAGUACCAUGUCUUCUUCCUCUAUGCUGUCAUGCUUCCAGCCAUGGUGACAAUGGACUAAACCUCUGAAUGAUUGUUUCACUCUCCUGUAGCUCUGAGUAGCUUGGAACUCACAGAGAGCCACCUGCCUGUGUAUCCUGAGUCCUGGGACUAAAGUUGUAUGCCACUACUGCCUGGCCUCUAUGGCUGUGGCAAGCUUUGCAUUCUGAUCUCCAUGCAAGCUUUAUUAGAUCAUGAACAAUAUAUCACCACAUGGGUCUUCGGUUCUAUUUCAUGGAUCAAAGUGUCCGUUUUUAUGCCAGUGUCGUGCAGUUUUAAUUACUAUAGCUGCCUGGUGUAACUUUAAACCAGAGUGAUGUUAUCUUCAGCCAUUGUUUUAUCAUUCAGAAUUGUUUCUGUUC